rnacentral:tRNA from 1 species
GAACUUAAGCUCAGCUGGGAGAGCGCCACCUUGGGGGGGAGGUUGCUGGUUCGAGACCAGUGGGAAUCA